rnacentral:rRNA from 16 species
UGCAUGGCUGUCGUCAGCUCGUGUCGUGAGAUGUUGGGGUAAGUCCCGCAACGAGCGCAACCCUUACUGUCAGUUGCCAUCGGUUAGGCCGGGCACUCUGGCGGAACUGCCUGUGACAAGCAGGAGGAAGGCGGGGAUGACGUCAAGUCCUCAUGGCCCUUACGGGUUGGGCUACACACGUGCUACAAUGGCAGUGACAAUGGGAUAAUCCCAAAAAGCUGUCUCAGUUCAGAUUGUCCUCUGCAACUCGAGGGCAUGAAGUUGGAAUCGCUAGUAAUCGUGGAUC